rnacentral:misc_RNA from 1 species
AAAAACAUCUGCGUGUGGCGGAGGGAAGAGAACAGCGGAUCUCACACGUGUCUCUCUGUUCUGACCGGCCAUUCAGGACCGGUCAAAUGCUUAGCCGUUAAGGAAGAUGAAGAAGAAUCGCCAUCGCCACCGGAAGAGGAAAGCAAUGUCAAAAAGCUGUACGGCAGCUAUAGCAACCGGCGGUGGAUUGUGUACAGUGGUAGCCUGGACCGAUCAGUGAAAGUGUGGCGCGUGUCGGAGAACGCGCCGGAGCUGUUGAAACUCCGGGACGCGGAUAGGCCGUACUUAAGCAAGA